rnacentral:lncRNA from 1 species
AAAACGAAAGACUAAGAAAAAAAUGUAAGUAAACUAUUACAUUUUAAAACAGAAAUUGUAUUAGGUCUACAUAUCUACUUCUUUGUAAUUUAGAUGAAAUAUUUACUAUUUAAAUGAAAAUUAGGUCACAAUUUCAACUUCACUUUCUGUCCUGAAGAAAUUAUUUCUAUCAUCUAAGAUAUUUCCAAAUUACCCUUGAUAAACAAGAAAAACAUCCUUUUAUUUUUCCCCAAAUUCAAGUUCCACCCCAUAAUUUCCAAAUACCCAGGCUUCAAUUAUAACAGCUGUCUGAAAUAUAGCAACAGUGUAUUUCUUUUUUCCUCAUUUAUUUUCUAUAUUUUUAUUGUUGCAUUGUAGUUGUGCAUAAUGGUGGGAUUUGUUGUUGCGUAUUCAUACAGGCACAGAAUAUAACAACAUAAUUCAGCCAAUAUCAUUUCCCAGUAUUUCCCAUUUCCCUCCCCUCCUUCCCUGCUUUACCUGGUCCCCUUCUUCUACUGAUCUCGCUCAAUUCUUGUGACAAUGUAUUUCAAUGAAGGUAUUUCCCACUUUAUCAAAAGAAAAUAAGAUUCCACCCAGAAAUUAUGUUUAAGUUAUCAUUUCAACUGUUCUAUUUGAUUUUUUUUAAUCCCACCCUGUUUGCUGUGAUCAAAGUCAUCACAACCUGCUGAUCUGACCAAAGCUGAAUAUUAAUCUGAGCAAUGUAGUUUAUCUUCCACCCACUGUGACAAUGUGGUUGAAGAGUUUUUAUUAUUUUUGCUGUUUCAACCUGAAACAGAUUUUUGAUGGCAUACUAAAUAGUAAAAGCAGCUUUUCAGAAUCAAAUAAUAAAAACAAACUUUCAGAAUCAAGACCCAGGUUGCAGAAUCACAUUGUUAUAUAGUCACGUAUGUGAUACUGCAACCUGUACACCUAGAAAAAUGAGAAAUUAU